AUCGUAACAAGGUUUCCGUAGGUGAACCUGCGGAAGGAUCAUUACUGAGUGCGGGCUGCCUCCGGGCGCCCAACCUCCCACCCGUGAAUACCUAACACUGUUGCUUCGGCGGGGAACCCCCUCGGGGGCGAGCCGCCGGGGACUACUGAACUUCAUGCCUGAGAGUGAUGCAGUCUGAGUCUGAAUAUAAAAUCAGUCAAAACUUUCAACAAUGGAUCUCUUGGUUCCGGCAUCGAUGAAGAACGCAGCGAACUGCGAUAAGUAAUGUGAAUUGCAGAAUUCAGUGAAUCAUCGAGUCUUUGAACGCACAUUGCGCCCCCUGGCAUUCCGGGGGGCAUGCCUGUCCGAGCGUCAUUGCUGCCCAUCAAGCCCGGCUUGUGUGUUGGGUCGUCGUCCCCCCCGGGGGACGGGCCCGAAAGGCAGCGGCGGCACCGUGUCCGGUCCUCGAGCGUAUGGGGCUUUGUCACCCGCUCGACUAGGGCCGGCCGGGCGCCAGCCGACGUCUCCAACCAUUUUUCUUCAGGUUGACCUCGGAUCAGGUAGGGAUACCCGCUGAACUUAAGCAUAUCAAUAAGCGGAGGAAAAGAAACCAACCGGGAUUGCCUCA
rnacentral:misc_RNA from 1 species